AUGGUCCUUGGCCAAAAUUGCACGAGAUGGGCCAGUCAAGCACAAGAAGGGUUUUUCUUGGGUGAUCUCUUGGAAGUUCCCCCUUCCCCUCAAGAAGAGAAUAUUGCGUCUACGAUCCACAUUGUCUCGUGCGGCGACGACACCAUACACUUGGAGUGGCCAUUCCAGGAGUGGCCAUUUGAGGUCCAAAUCGAUGUUGGCAAUUUUAAAAGACAAGAUCUGCAAGGUGGUCCCGUAGGUAGCAAGAUGGUGUGGGAUCUGUCUGGGCGUGUAGUGUGUAAAGUGCAUGGGGCUCACUAG
rnacentral:rRNA from 1 species